GUAGCAAUUAGAGUGCGUCUUUAGUCUGUCCUUUACGGUAAUUGGGUCACGUGGUGCUGAUGGCGGAAGUGCCACACCUGCGAUGCCGAGGAUGAAGAGAAAGGAAAGAAAAGUCCAUUUGUUCGGAGAAAAAGGCCAAAAAAGAAUUGCAGUUAGCUGACUUGGUUGGCACCUUCUGUAACGACCGGGUCGCAUGGUGAUGUGGAUAUGUUCUCCCAGGAAUGCAGACGAGCCCCGGAAACAGCGUAAAGGUGUGUUCCACGCAGGUGUAUUUCAUCAGGGUCGGACAGGUGGCUCGCAGCUGAUGGGAACUUGACUCUGCUGAUCCACGUCAAGGAGGUGAGGGGAGCAGUGAGCAGCAGCAGUGGUGCCGCGCCCGGAAAAGAACUCCACCCAUUAAAAUGAAGGCACAAAUAUAAUUUUUGUUUACCUUGAACGCUCAAAUAUAUAAAUCAACUGUAGAACUAUUGUAAAUUAUAAGUUUUUGUAAACAUUUUUGAAUAUUUUUUGUUUUUAAUGCUGUUUUUGUCAUAGAAAACAUUGUUUUUUUUUUAUGGAAAAAACACAAAAUACAAAAUAUUUUCCCCAACAUUUUUUCAAAGUGAAAU